rnacentral:sRNA from 2 species
CGGUCGGUAACGCCGAAUCCUGCCGCCGACCGGGCCGGGACCUUUAUCGAAUGGCAUGGAGCGGGGGACCCACACGUUCCCCGGCACGCGCUUGCCGCGUGCCUCGGGGUGAAGCCGCGCACCCGGCGGCCGGGCAACCUCAGCCCGAACCCGACAGCUGACCUCGCAGGCGUGGAGGUUGUACAC